AACUGGUUGGCUCUGUGACGACGCGUGUGAGUUCGACUCGGACUCAAUGAUGAACCUUGAUCCCUUCUGGCAGCCCUUUCCAGGCUCAAGGACAGUGAUACUGCCCAGGCAAAGGCAUGGGAAGCCAGGACUGGAGCUGGCCCAGGGCCAAGAUUUGCAAGUUGCUGGUGUUCAGUUGGAGUCCUUGGAAUAUUUGUGUUUUGGCCCAGUUCAAAAGUCCAUGGUUCUACCAGUGAGAAUGUGCAUAUGGCCCAUCUCCUAAUGGCCUCCUGGAUCCAUUUUAAAACCCCUUGAUGCAAUGUCCUAAUUCACUGCAGUGUGGAGAAACCGCC
rnacentral:lncRNA from 1 species